CACUCCUGCGGGAGGCAGCAGUAGGGAAUCUUCGGCAAUGGGGGCAACCCUGACCGAGCAACGCCGCGUGAGUGAAGAAGGUUUUCGGAUCGUAAAGCUCUGUUGUAAGUCAAGAACGAGUGUGAGAGUGGAAAGUUCACACUGUGACGGUAGCUUACCAGAAAGGGACGGCUAACUACGUGCCAGCAGCCGCGGUAAUACGUAGGUCCCGAGCGUUGUCCGGAUUUAUUGGGCGUAAAGCGAGCGCAGGCGGUUUGAUAAGUCUGAAGUUAAAGGCUGUGGCUCAACCAUAGUUCGCUUUGGAAACUGUCAAACUUGAGUGCAGAAGGGGAGAGUGGAAUUCCAUGUGUAGCGGUGAAAUGCGUAGAUAUAUGGAGGAACACCGGUGGCGAAAGCGGCUCUCUGGUCUGUAACUGACGCUGAGGCUCGAAAGCGUGGGGAGCGAACAGGAUUAGAAACCCCUGUAGUCCC
rnacentral:rRNA from 1 species